ACGUGCUGUUAGAUUUACCUUGCAACAAUUAAAACACGCUUUCUAACUUUGUGAGGGAGAACAAUGAAAGCGAACAACUUUUUUUCCCGUGCUGUGUACAUGAAGUAAAGCCUUGCUGGACAAGUCAAAAUUCUCAUUGCACCUGACACGAAGAGAGUGUGCACUUUUGUGAAGACAGAAAUACUGAUAACACCACAGCAGGACUGCUACUGCGUCGCUCAGAAAAACACAACAAUGUGCUUUCAAAAAGACAAAGCUGAAGUCCAACUCAGCAGCAGAGGCGUUGGCAUGACAGAAACCGAAGGCAUUUUAAGGAUAGUAAUGAAGAGAAGAAAACAGAAAUGCUGAAAAUUCUGGGCAGUUCAAGCAGGAUCUGUAAACAGAGAAAUAACAUUUAAAGUCCAU